GUGUUAUAUGAUAGGUGAGAAAGUUAACAGUACCCUUGACAAGGAUGAAAGAAGCAGGUCCUUGAGCCUGACAACAUGCAUACAAUUAAUGAGGUGAGUUACAUCUUGAACACUUUUU
rnacentral:ncRNA from 1 species